CCCUCGGAGUGUUAUAUCAAACGAAAUUAGCCUUUAGUGAAAUCGGAUACGUUGAACAGGGAA
rnacentral:sRNA from 16 species